UACGUAGGGUGCAAGCGUUAAUCGGAAUUACUGGGCGUAAAGCGUGCGCAGGCGGUUAUGCAAGACAGAGGUGAAAUCCCCGGGCUCAACCUGGGAACUGCCUUUGUGACUGCAUGACUAGAGUACGGUAGAGGGGGGGAUGGAAUUCCGCGUGUAGCAGUGAAAUGCGUAGAUAUGCGGAGGAACACCGAUGGCGAAGGCAAUCCCCUGGACCUGUACUGACGCUCAUGCACGAAAGCGUGGGGAGCAAACAGG
rnacentral:rRNA from 1 species